UACGGGGGGGGCAAGCGUUGUUCGGAAUUACUGGGCGUAAAGGGCUCGUAGGCGGCCAACUAAGUCGGACGUGAAAUCCCUCGGCUUAACCGGGGAACUGCGUCUGAUACUGGAUGGCUUGAGAUUGGGAGAGGGAUGCGGAAUUCCAGGUGUAGCGGUGAAAUGCGUAGAUAUCUGGAGGAACACCGGUGGCGAAGGCGGCAUCCUGGACCAACACUGACGCUGAGUGAGCGAAAGCCAGGGGAGCAAACGGG
rnacentral:rRNA from 1 species